UCCGAUAUGGUGUAACGGCUAACAUUGCCGCCUUUCAGCGUGGGAAGUGCCCGAUAGGGGUCACGUGAUCGCGGCAGCUCGGGGUUCGACCCCCCGUAUCGGAG